AUCCGCAUAACUCUUUUGUCGAUCUUGUGCCGUUUGUAUACGUUGUCGAAUCAUUUGGAUCUUUUCUGUAGUAAUACGUACCAACUCUGGUCCCAACAAUGUUGCUUCACCCACCUCAUCCCAACAUACUGGAGAGCGACACUUUCUUCCAUACAAUGCUUCGAAUGGAGCUACCCCUAUACUUGCCUGAUAACUGUUGUUGUAGGAGAAUUCCACCAAUGGUAAAUACUUAUCCCAA
rnacentral:lncRNA from 1 species